CGCCGGCGGUUCGCCGCCGGUGUUGUUGUGAGAAGUUCAUUAAACCUUAUCAUUUAGAGGAAGGAGAAGUCGUAACAAGGUUUCCGUAGGUGAACCUGCGGAAGGAUCAUUG
rnacentral:rRNA from 1 species